AUGGGAAGAGGAAAAGGAAAUCCGACGGGUUGGAUUGCUCAUGUGUCCACAGGACAAAUCCCAUUUGAAAUGGAUGGUGUGAGUUUUUCAAAUGCUUGA
rnacentral:rRNA from 1 species